rnacentral:rRNA from 1 species
UUUAUGGAGAGUUUGAUCCUGGCUCAGGAUGAACGCUGGCGGCGUGCCUAAUACAUGCAAGUCGAGCGAACAGAUGAGGAG